UACAGAGGGUGCAAGCGUUAAUCGGAAUUACUGGGCGUAAAGCGUGUGUAGGUGGUUGGAUAAGUUAGAUGUGAAAUCCCCGAGCUUAACUUGGGCAUUGCGUUUAAGACUGUUCGGCUAGAGUACUGUAGAGGAUAGUGGAAUUUCCAGUGUAGCGGUGAAAUGCGUAGAUAUUGGAAGGAACACCAGUGGCGAAGGCGACUAUCUGGAUAGAUACUGACACUGAGACACGAAAGCGUGGGUAGCGAACAGG
rnacentral:rRNA from 1 species